UCCACGCCGUAAACGAUGUCAACUAGUCGUUGGGCCCUUCGGGGCUUGGUGACGCAGCUAACGCGUGAAGUUGACCGCCUGGGGAGUACGGCCGCAAGGUUAAAACUCAAAUGAAUUGACGGGGGCCCGCACAAGCGGUGGAGCAUGUGGUUUAAUUCGAUGCAACGCGAAGAACCUUACCUACCCUUGACAUCAUCAGAACUUGUUAGAGAUAACUCGGUGCCUUCGGGAAC
rnacentral:rRNA from 1 species